AAAAAUCAUCGCGCGAUGAGAAAACAAAUCCACCGAGCGGCUCACCCUUAUCCCUAACCUCCCAACUCCCCCACCUCCUCCUCCUGCCGCCACCGAACACCUCGCGCGCGCCGCCGCCGGUGACCUCGCGAGCCCCAUGAUCCCCAAUCUCUCCUACAUCUUGCGCGCGCACACCCCAAUCGAGACCUGCAGCUGGCGACCUCACGCGCCGUCAUCGCGGCCCGCCCGGCCGUUGCUCCUGCUGGCGCGACCCGCCGCCCGCAUCUGGCCGGUUGAGCCCCUGAGCCCCUGAAUCGUCGCGCCACACCUCCAGCUAAGUAGCUUCCUUUUGCCACGUCUCCAUUGGCCGUCCAUGGUGCUAUCUCUUCGGCCGCUAGUUAUUACUACAACUGAGCAUCUUCUCUUGCAGAGAUCCAUCGACAUUCCUUGCUGAUGGCUGCCCGAGCUAUGAGAAUAAUCGUCCUCCAACCGCCUCGGCCGCUCACCAACACGCCCACCUGCAGUUCAGCACACAGCCUCCUCCCAGUGGGGCCCAUCACGCUCAGGUCGUUCGUCGCUGCCACCUCCGGUCGUUCAAUUACGCAGCCCUAAGACGUUCACUGCCAUCAGAAACAGCGACGAGCACGAAGACACCUUCUCAUGCUCAGUGCUAUCUCCCUCAUAACACAAGAAGUUCAUGUAAAACUGUUGCAAAGGUUCAGAGAGAUUAGCUCGCCCCUCCUCCAUAGAUAGCCUACACCAGCUGCCAGAACCCGUCCAGGUGCUGGUCAUCAUCCUCGAUCUUCAAUUACGGGUCAGCAACGGCGCUGCGAAUAGAAAGGGCCCUGUGAAGUUCAAUUUGUUUUUCUUUCCGAAGUUCAGUUUGUUGAUUUUCUGAAGUUUGGAUUGUUGAUUUUUUUAAGAGAAAGGUUGCUUCACUUGCACUCCUCUAUCUAAUCCUAUGUGGUGAUCUCCUUGACUCCUCCUCGGUUCGGAGCUAGCGGCGGUUCUUCAGCUUCUCUGCUGCGUUGUCGCGAUUGUUGCAGAGACAAAUUUUAUACUUUGUUCAUCUACGGUGCCAAGUUGAGCGGACACCGUAGCACUCGAGAAGAUGGGGAGAGGAUGUGUGGUGAAGAGAAAACAUAGGGUUUCAAAUUGUCCAUUGGUGGUAGCAUCUAAUCAUUUUACCAAAGUGUAAUGGACAUGUGUAUGUAUGUAUAGUAGCAUAUUUUACUCGAACCGAGUUAUUUUUUUUAAUGCACGAAGUUUGUGCAGCCAAAAAAACAUGUAUUAAACUGGUUUUUGUGUGUUUUCUAACCUUUUCUACACCUUU